rnacentral:lncRNA from 1 species
CACUUAAAGCUGCUGAAGAGGCACUGCCACAAAAAUCACAGGCUGAAGCCGGAGCCAGACCUGGAGCCAGAGCCAGGCAUCCACAUGAACCAUGGCUGACAGGGGCUCCUGCUCUCACAGCUCACUGCAGGGAGGGACCCUGGGGACAAAGGUGGGGACAGAGAGAGGGAAAUAACAGAGGAAAAUCUUUCCAGGCAGGCUGGGCACAGAGCCUAAAUGGAGGGAGAGCUCACCCCCAGGACGAUGAACCCAGCCGGCCAGAGCUCUGUGCGUGGACGGCAGCGUGCUCUUUGGGCAAGCAGGAGCUCUGGUUUGCUGAGCCCUCUCUGCUGCAAAGUGCUGAACACUCCUUUCAUCCACUCACCCAUCUGGCUGUCAUGUAUCCACGUGCUCACUGAUUCAGUCACGUAUUCAGUUGCUGGGGGCAGUGCGGUACAGGCCAAGCCCUUGAGACAUGCAGAAGAAGAAAAUAAAAUGGCAAACACGUGACUGUGGAUGUCAGAGAGUGAUGCAUGCCACAGAGGAGAGAAAACCAGGAACGAAAGCAGCUGGAGCCAAAGUCUGCGAACCUUCUGCCCCCGAGUUCUCACCCUGGCGAGCUUCACAGUGAGCACAGGACCUCGAUCUGCCACGACAUCCUCCACAGCUCCAAUUCGGGAGUAUCUGAUCUUGAGGAAAAUCUCCAGGCAGCCUGGAAAGGGUUCAACCAGCCCAGCUCAGGGCCCAGGCCUGCGACUGAAUGCCUGUGCUGGGCUGGGUGCAGCCGAGUCUGUAAGGUGCCGCUGCUUGUGUAGGAAGAGAAGGUUUCCUAAACCCAGGUGCCUCUGUCGAUGUGGAGACAGAGCCCACUGCAGCGCACUCACAGGAAACAGCAGCUCAGCAGAUGGUGCUCACCCGGGGUUUCGGCAGGGGUCCUGACCUCUUUUGCACGAGAUGGUAACAUCUCUUUUGCUUUAAUGAUCAACCAAAACCAAAGUAUUUGCUACUUAUCUACCUGAUAUUUUAUUAUAUCUUAGGUUUGCAGAUUUACAAGGCAUUUAAUCAUAUGCAAAGCAGUACAGAGGAUUCCCUGAUUUUAAAGGAAAAAGCAAACUUGUAAAAAGGCAAUUUUAUCUUUCAGGAAAAGCCAGGAGCAUGGACAUGUGUCCAUUUGGGUCUCCUGGUGUCACUAUAAUGCUUCAUUCCUUGAUUUUUUUUUUUUUUUUUGGUGUGUGUGUGUGUGUGUGUGUGUGUUUGAAACAGUCUCACUUUGUAGCCCAGGUUGGCUUUGAACUCACUAUGUACAGGGCUGGGGAUGUAGCUCAGCGGCAUAAGCGCUUGCCUUGCAAGCUUGAGGUCGUGAGUACGAUUCCUAGUACCAAAAACAAAACAAAACAAAACAGAAAAACAACAGUGUAGCCCAGGCUGGCUUUGAACUCACAGUGAUCCUCCUGCUUCAGCCUCCCAAGUGCUAGGAUUACAGGCAGAUUCCACAAUGCCUGGCUCUUUGCAUGUUUUUUAAAAUUUAGCCGUGCAUUUAUUUACUUGUUCAACAAAAUUCAAAGUGUCUUCUCAGCAAUGGAGUGGAAGAAUUUAAGAGCAUUGCAAAAUGUAAACCACAGGGGCCAAGACAGAAAAGAAUCACAAUUGCUUUGCAAAAAUGCAUUCGUAUUCUGCAAGGCAGCUAGCUCUUUGAGUUCAUGAAUCUUUCUUUUACAAAUGAUUCUUUUAAAGAAAGAGAUUCAGUGACUUUUCAAAGUCACUCUUAAUGCUUCCAAGAAUCCAAACAUAAAAACAAAAAGAGAUCCAAAGAUCUUCCCUCUGCUGUUAGUCUCCUUUCCUCUGAAUUCGUAUCCUACUCAUCUUCCACCCAGUCUCCCUUUUGUCUCUAUCUGUGGUUACUGUGCAGAAUUAAUUGCUCGCCUGAAGUAGACCCGCUGGCUGGGCACAGAGAAGACAGAGCGGAUAGCUGCGGCCCCUGAUGGGAGGUUGAUGGAUGAACCUGAGCCGCAGCACAGGGCUUUAAAAAGAUACACCUGCCUACAGGUGGUGAGCAGAGCGCUGUGUCUACACAAGGAUUGCCAUAAAUCAGAAGGAGAUAAAAGCAUUUAAAACCAACAAAGCAGGCAACAUUUUUUGAGUAAUUGAGCUUGGUUUUAAAAAACAAGAAAUGUCUGUGUUAGUCCUUGUCUUUCAAACAUUGUUCUCUGUUUGGUUAAGCUAGACAAACACCAGGAUCUGAUGUAAGCGCGACUUUUUCUUUUUGUAUGUUGGACAUAAAUGUCUUUAAUCUCUGGAGUUAGGAAUUUAUUGGUUGAGUCUUCAGGGGCAAACGCGGUAAGUUCUGAAAUGGUUUUUCUUGCAGGGUGGAGGUAGAAAGCGGGGAGGAGGCAGAGAGGGACAGGAAGGCGCACCCCCAAAUCAAACUCACCCCCAAGUCAAACUGGAAAUGACAAGCAUUUUCCUGGCACAGGAGAACAGGGUACAGGUGACUUUUUACCGGCUUGGCGUGGCCCGAUGGAUGUGCCUGGUGGGGGUGAGCUGGGCUCACUGGUCACAAACCAAAAUUCCUUCUCGUGACCUCCACAGCAACCACCGAAGCAGGCACAGAGCUUAAGGCAGGGCACCCUCCCCUGAGUGUGGCCAGGGGCUCAGCCCCACCUCUGUCUUCUCCCCUUACUCCUUACCCUGGUUCGCUGGCGGAGGUUGCACCCAGUCUGUGGUCCCACUGCUUCACCGUUGGGCUGUGACCUGGGACCUGCUGGAGGCUCCUGGGAUCUGGAGACACACAGGUGUUUCAUGAGCUGGUGGGAGACAGUGCAUGUCAGAGGGAGCGGAGACUGUUUCCAGGUUUGUUUCCACCCCUUGUCCACCUGCCCUGCCCGACCCGGGUCCCCUCAUCUGCCUCCUCCAGCUGCUACCACAGAUUCCAAAGUCUGCAGGGUGCAGUUGGACUGGGGAUGGACCUGCUUGUUUUAACAAGAAGGGUGAGGUUUUAACACUUAAAAUAGAUGAGGCACUCUUACUCUUGCCUCUGUGACUUUGAAAUUUGUAUUUUCUUUUCUUUUUUCUCUUUUUACUUUCCUUUUUUUCUAGUACUGGGGGUCAAACCUAGGGGCACCCUAACACUGAACUACAUCACCAGGUCGAUUGAUUGACUGACUGAUUGAGACAGGAUCGCACUAAGUCCCAAAUUGCCCUGGCAGGUCUCAAGUUUGCCAUAGACCUGCCUCAGCCUCCUUCUAUGCUUAAGAAAGGGUGCUGAAGAGGGUUUUUUUUGUUUUGU